CUCCUUUGAAGUUAGCGGCGGACGGGUGAGUAACACGUGGGUAACCUACCUAUAAGACUGGAAUAACUUCGGGAAACCGGAGCUAAUGCCGGAUAACAUUUGGAACCGCAUGGUUCUAAAGUAAAAGAUGGUUUUGCUAUCACUUAUAGAUGGACCCGCGCCGUAUUAGCUAGUUGGUAAGGUAACGGCUUACCAAGGCAACGAUACGUAGCCGACCUGAGAGGGUGAUCGGCCACACUGGAACUGAGACACGGUCCAGACUCCUACGGGAGGCAGCAGUAGGGAAUCUUCCGCAAUGGACGAAAGUCUGACGGAGCAACGCCGCGUGAGUGAUGAAGGUUUUCGGAUCGUAAAACUCUGUUAUUAGGGAAGAACAAAUGUGUAAGUAACUGUGCACAUCUUGACGGUACCUAAUCAGAAAGCCACGGCUAACUACGUGCCAGCAGCCGCGGUAAUACGUAGGUGGCAAGCGUUAUCCGGAAUUAUUGGGCGUAAAGCGCGCGUAGGCGGUUUCUUAAGUCUGAUGUGAAAGCCCACGGCUCAACCGUGGAGGGUCAUUGGAAACUGGGAAACUUGAGUACAGAA
rnacentral:rRNA from 1 species